rnacentral:lncRNA from 1 species
CAAACAUCACUUCUAGGAGUAGAAUCCUAACUACAAGAGUAUCAAGGAGCAAUAGGUCUAUAGGAACCACACCAUUUACCAUACAAGCAUCACUUAGACCAUACCAUGUCAAGGAAGGAAACAAAACAUGAUACAAGGACAUUAUAAACAAAAGUGUAGCUUCAAGUAUCUUUUGGCUGUUUUUUUGGCACACAAAUCUUAUCAAAUAGACCAACCAAUCAUGUCUUAAUACCAAAAAAUAAACAGAAGUGUUGCGGCAAGUAGUGCAGUAGGACUAUUCAGUUCAACAUGAUUUUAGAAGCUGAAACUUAGAAGCUUAGUUAACCACUUAGAGCACUAACUGAAGUAGGAAUCAUAUCAACUAGC